rnacentral:lncRNA from 1 species
GGCACAUUUGCUCUGGGCUUCUUUUAAAACCAUGUAGUACCAUGGUUGUCUUCCAAGUGGUCCUUCUUUCUGCCUUGUGAAACCUUGGCCCACAGUAGUUACUUAAGGCUGCUUGGGAAGAUUUUCCCAGAUGAGCUGACUGCCUUGCCUCUCAUUAUCAUUCAUCUUCUUGGAAGUUGCAAGGUUCUGGACAUGGUGCGCUUUACCUAGGACCUAAAUACAUCUUCCCAUCUGAUCAGGUCUAGGCUCAUGAUGCAACUGGUUGUCGGAAACCUUUACCAUGUCUGCAUUCUUUGCAUGUAGCAGUAUGGGAACCCAGGACUUGCUGUAUGUGUGUCUGUGUGUAUAGGGUCCAGGGUUUCAGUAUAUUGAGCUGUUCUUAGAAGUGUUAGUGUUAGGGAGCAGGAAGGUAUUGGGCACUAUGUGUCUUACUGCAGCAGAGAACUGUCAGUAUCCAAAACAACCCCAGUCAAUCUCCAGAGCAUCAGUGUGAACACCCUCCCUGUAAGAGUUCCCAGGUGUGGAUGUCUGGGUAUUACCAUCGUAGAAGGAGUGGUGGGUGGGCUGGUAGAUGGUCAUCUUAGUUGGCUGCCCAUCCCCGACAGGAGAACCCAGUCAUUGGCACCUUCAGGCCAGGCUUGGCUGUCACUCUCUUUUGCUGUUUUUCAUGUUGUCGGAAGGAUCUUCUUGGGAACAAAUGACUCAGCAACCUGAAUCUCUGAGACUGUGUGGCCUACGUGCCUUUCGGAGAGUAAUUGAAUGUAUCUU